rnacentral:rRNA from 1 species
AGCGAACGCUGGCGGCAGGCCUAACACAUGCAAGUCGAACGGAUCCUUCGGGAGUAGUGGCGGACGGGUGAGUAACACGUGGGAACGUGCCCUUUGGUUCGGAACAACUCAGGGAAACUUGAGCUAAUACCGGAUGUGCCCUUCGGGGGAAAGAUUUAUCGCCAUUGGAGCGGCCCGCGACUGAUUAGCUAGUUGGUGAGGUAAAGGCGCACCAAGGCGACGAUCAGUAGCUGGUCUGAGAGGAUGAUCAGACACAUUGGGACUGAGACACGGCCCAAACUCCUACGGGAGGCAGCAGUGGGGAAUCUUGCGCAAUGGGCGAAAGCCUGACGCAGCCAUGCCGCGUGAAUGAUGAAGGUCUUAGGAUUGUAAAAUUCUUUCACCGGGGACGAUAAUGACGGUACCCGGAGAAGAAGCCCCGGCUAACUUCGUGCCAGCCGCCGCGGUAACAC